AACAGGAUUAGAUACCCUGGUAGUCCACGCCGUAAACGAUGUCUACUAGCCGUCGGCGAUCUUGUAUUGUUGGUGGCGCAGCUAACGCGAUAAGUAGACCGCCUGGGGAGUACGGCCGCAAGGUUAAAACUCAAAUGAAUUGACGGGGGCCCGCACAAGCGGUGGAGCAUGUGGUUUAAUUCGAUGCAACGCGAAGAACCUUACCUACCCUUGACAUCCUGCGAACCCGGAAGAGAUUCCGGGGUGCCUUCGGGAGCGCAGAGACAGGUGCUGCAUGGCUGUCGUCAGCUCGUGUUGUGAAAUGUUGGGUUAAGUCCCGUAACGAGCGCAACCCCUGUCCCUAUUUGCCAGCGAUUCGGUCGGGAACUCUAGGGAGACUGCCGGUGACAAACCGGAGGAAGGUGGGGACGACGUCAAGUCAUCAUGGCCCUUACGGGUAGGGCUACACACGUGCUACAAUGGCAGGUACAAAGGGUUGCGAGACGGCGACGUGGAGCGAAUCCCAUAAAGCCUGCCUCAGUUCGGAUCGGAGUCUGCAACUCGACUCCGUGAAGUCGGAAUCGCUAGUAAUCGUGAAUCAGAAUGUCACGGUGAAUACGUUCCCGGGCCUUGUACACACCGCCCGUCACACCAUGGGAGUGGACUGCACCAGAAGUGGUUAGCUUAACCUUCGGGAGAGCGAUCACCACGGUGUGGUUCAUGACUGGGGUGAAGUCGUAACAAGGUAACC
rnacentral:rRNA from 1 species